rnacentral:pre_miRNA from 1 species
AACGUGUGCAUAUGGUGUUCAGCACCAAGGACAGGUGUGUUAACCUGUGUGUGGAUGGUGUUCAGCACCAAGGACAGGUGUGUUAACCU